rnacentral:rRNA from 1 species
GGCAAACGGGUUGCGUAACACGUUACGCAACUUACCCAUUUACAGGGGAAUAGCCCAGGGAAACUUGGAUUAAUACCCCAUAUUAUAUAGAACUGGCAUCAGUUUUAUAUCAAAGCUUCGGCGGUAAUGGAUGGGCGUGCGGUUGAUUAGAUAGUUGGCGGGGUAACGGCCCACCAAGUCUACGAUCAAUAGCUGAUGUGAGAGCAUGAUCAGCCACACGGGCACUGAGACACGGGCCCGACUCCUACGGGAGGCAGCAGUAAGGAAUAUUGGGCAAUGGACGAAAGUCUGACCCAGCCAUGCCGCGUGAAGGAUGAAGGUCCUCUGGAUUGUAAACUUCUUUUAUCUGGGGCGAAAAUCACCCUUUCUA